CUGGAAUCAUGACCUGAGCCGAAGGCAGACGCUUAACCGACUGAGCCACCCAAGUGCCCCAGCAGCUCUGGUUGUCUUAAUUAUGUCUGCAGAGUUAGACGGCCAUCUGAGUCCAAAAGCAGAGGAGGAACAUACACGCAGGUGUGGUCAAGGGCAGGGACAGACUGGAAAAGCCCAGGCUGACUGGGCUGGGCUGGUGCAGCCUCACGUGAGCUUUUCUUCCACGGAGGAGGAACCGAACAGUCCAGCUAAAGAGACGACGGAAUAAGUCAGCAUAGGAAGAGGCAGAAACACUCUCCUUCCCCACGUCUUACCUGCCAUUCUGACUCUUUAAAAGGUCCAGGUUAUUCCUGAAACCGAAGAGAUCUGAUCCACCACCUUCGGUUACUGGCAUCAGGAAAGCAGCAGCAGAAGCUGAGUGCUCCGACCACAAAGAAGAAACUGGGGGUGCUGGAGAGACGGGAAAGAGCUGGCCUGAAGCGACCUAUGUGCUCCAUGAGGUCAGCAGUGACAUCUGGUCCAUUCUCCUCGGGAUCCCUGCUUCACACUGGGCUGGUACACGGCAGGCUCCCAUUUGCUGAAUGACUGAGUGACGGAAAAUCCAAAUGACAGCCGGUGAGAGGGACUCUUCCUUAGAACCACACCGACCACACCUACUGCUGCCCCCAAAGGUGCCCCUGCAGCCCCCUUCCAAGCCCCGUUGGACACAGGCAAGUGCUCCUUCGUUGUGACGACCCUCCAAGCCCUGGAGCUGACAAGUGCCACCUGAAAAGAAAUCUGUAGCCUGACCAACAACAGAGUGAACACACACCUUGAGGCUAACCAUGUCUUAAUCAACAGCCCAGGUGGUUCAGUCCUUUCUUAAUAUUUGUCUUUCCUAAUCAGAGAGUUAUGA